rnacentral:lncRNA from 1 species
UUUUAACUUCCUUAAUGUAUAAACAUUGCUCAAAAAUGUUAGAAGGUGUUAAUAAAUCUAUAAACCACUUUUGACAGUUUUACCCUUUACUGUCCCUGUUUUUAGAAAACUCAUAGAAAAAUCAUCGUAAGUCAAAAACUGAAUCCGUCACCUCUGAGAGUUUAUAAAAUGAGUCUACUUUGUUCCUAAUUUUUAUUAUGAUUUUUAGUGGUCUCAAACUAGUGUGAAAAUGAACAUCUUCACAGACUGGUCCGAAAUCACUUCUGAAAUGACAGGCAGUUUUAUAAAAAUCGCCAUAAAUUGUAGAAAAAUCGUAUGAACGCGUGCGAGUAGUCAUUAGAAAGGUAUAAACUUGAACUAUUUGCAUAUUGUACAUUUUUGAAUGAUAUUAAGUUUAAGAUGGUCAAAACAGUCCGUGAACAGGACUCAACUUUUCUGUAGAAAGCUGUCAUUUAAAUUUAAGUUAUGUUUAGUGUUCUAACUUGUAUUCCCCCCCUUAAAACUUGAAUAAAACAUGAAAAUGUAGGGGUAUGAACUCACCUUAUGUGAAUACUUGAAGAAUGGAAAGUUGAAGAUGAACUUUUGGUUGUUGGUUUGAUGCUCCAAAACAGCCACUCUUUUGGCUAUGUUGCUGUCACGAAAAUUUCACAGCAAAAGAGCAAGAAAAAGGGUAGUUUACUCACUGUUUUGAAUCAAUAAUUUUGAGUAUCAUAACAAGUAACUUCCAGGGGUAUUUGGUGGUAAAAAUAUCAAGCAAAAGGAAGGUGUAGAUGGGUGAAAUGGUGGCUGAAACACAAAAGGGACAGCAACCCUUUAGUUCAUGGUUUUGAUGGCUUUGGAAGGAAGUUCUUGUGCUUGAAAAUGAGAUGAAGGUUGAGAGUAAUUACUUGGAGUAUUGGCUGGUCAAAUGAGGGUAAAAUGAAGAGGAAAUUUCGUGGUUAUGAAGGAGGAAAGGGUGGAAGAGGAUAAGGGGACAAAACCUAGACUAGCUUGUGAUGGGAUGUGAGUUUAAGUGAUGUGAUCUUGUCUAGCCACUUGCUUGGGUGGUUGUUUAGAGAUAGAGUUAGUUAACUAACUAACUACUAGUUAUUUAGUUAGUUAGGAGUUCUAGUUAAGGAGAGGGAAGGUCUUAAUCUCGAAAAUUAGAAGAGGGAUUAAUAAGCAUUCUUAGUAAAAUGUCUUAAGUGAUUAAGCACUUAUUAGUUAAGUUGGCACUUAUCUCCACCAAUUCUCUUAUCUUAAUUGAUUUAGACAUCAUAAAACUUACAUGAAAUCAUUUUAAUUCAUGACUUAUAACUAGUCAUUCACUAGAUAAUAAUACAUAUAUACAAAUACAUACAUGUAUACUUAGUAUAAAAUAACAAUGUAGUUUUUGUGUAUUUGAACUUUAAUGUUUAUGUUUUAUUCUUUUUAUUCAAAAACACUUAAAUACAUUUUAAUUAUACCUUAUAAUAAUUCAUUUUAUAUUUUAAUUUAUUUAAAUAUAAAAUUUAUUGAGCAAUGUAUAAUUUCGUGACAUUUAACCGGUUAACCAUAUCGUUAAACACGUUUUGUCACUUUGGUUCGUAUAUUUGUCAAAUUUAGAUCCUUCACAUCUAUUAAGCAAACGUUUUACAUAGAACCUAACUUACUUAUCAAAUAGAGACAUGUUGAUACAAAAAUUAAGUUUGUUGCGUUUAAAUGAUGUUAUAUGCUAAUUUCACAAACCGGUGAUGGUUCGUAGUCAUACAUCAUAACGAAAUUUAUCAAUAGUUACUUGUUUUAUAUUUCACAAUAACUUAUUUAAAUAAAAGAGGUUAAAUUCCUUCAACCAUUCUUAAUAAAAUACUCAUAUUGCUUAAUAAUCAAAAGAUAGCAUCGUACGAUCGUUCCUAUUUUUACCAAUUGUUACAUUCUCCCCCCGUUAAAAGAAUUUCGCCCCGAAAUUCAACUUGUAGACGGGAUAUCACUAAACAAUUGGGGGUGUUUCUUUUUUUUAUUUUUUUUUUUUUGAUUCGCGCGUUCCCUAGUGAAUUCAGGUCCUCGCUUGGCGUUCCAACGGGCCUUCACUAUGGGUAUGCGGCUUUGUUUCGUCCUUUUGACCUCCUGAUCCAUGAUUUCCACCGGUUCUUCGAUGAAGUUUAGACUCCCGUUGAUUUCAAUUUCAUCCAGUGGAAUAACAAGAGUCUCAUCAGACAAGCUCUUCUUCCGAUCCUGGGAUGCCUUCAAUCAUUCACGGGUUUGAACAAUCUUCUCUGUAGUUUCUCGUAUGAUCUGGGGGCUGGUGAAAGUGUUGUUAGGAACUUGCCUGUUAGCUAUUUGUGUGUCACCUACCUCAUCCCAUCAAAGAGGUGAUCUACACUUGCUUCUGCAGAGAGCUUCGAAUGACGUGACCUUGAUGUUAAUGUAAUAGUUGAUGUUGUAUAAGGAUUCGAUGAAUGGUUCUUCCUCUUUGUCUUUCAGUUUGAGGGUGAUAAAAAGGACUUCUUUAACGACUAUUAAAAACACGAGGCGAAUCGCCUGUCCCUUAUCCAAAAUGAUAGAUAGUGGUAUACUAUGCAGUCUCGCAAUUUUCUUUGUAUAUGCUCCUGUUAGCUUUUCUAUUUUUCUUUGUAUCCUUGGUCGGUAGAAAGUGUGUGGGUUUGGUUGAUUUGUCUACGAUCGCUCAAGUGGUAGCAUGUCCAUCCACUGUCCUGGGUAACUUGUCAUGGAGUUCAUGGUAUGACUCAUAACUGAUUCAUCUAUCAUCUCUUUGUGUUUAUAAGUCGUAUAUAAUUAAGAUUGAAAAGACAGUCGAAUCGGUGAUUCUAUUCUAAGCCCACAUCCAAACAAGGAAAAGGAUUUAAAGCGGAAUUACCAACCCUAAGUCCGUAGAAUCUUAAUUAUAUAGGGCUCCAAUAUAUACACUUAGUAAUCAUAGAUUCACUAGUAUGGGUCCAUAGUCUCUACUUGAGUGGGGUGAUUAACUUGGGUGAGAUGGCAUUUACCACAACCCUUUUCCGCAACUACUACACUUAGGUUGAUUUUUGAACUCGGGUUACCGUAUGGAUGGUAUUCCCAGGAGAUCUUCUCGGAAUAUAUCGAGAAGGUUACGGGCUUUUUCAACAUCCAUGAUGUCUUUCUCUUCUUGUUUCUUAUCCACAGCACAGGCUAGGACGGCGUGGUGCCUCCUGUGUAGGUACUUCUGAGUCUUGUUGCAAAAGGUGAGUCGGGGGAUUGUGUCCGGUUUGUCGUUAUAGACAACGAGGGUUCUAUUACUCGAUGGGUUUAGGCGAAUGGACUUUUCGUAAUAUAUGAUAUCGGUAUGGUGAGGAAACUAACUAAUACGUUGUUAAAAUGAAAAUGUCGUAAAUUUUUAUUGUGACCGGUUUUAGGAUGAUUUGAAUGAAUUGGUUGAUUUAGUGUUAGAGUGCACCCUAUGUACACGUCUCUAGUGCUUUUGAUUAUUCCAAUUCUACUGUAAAUAUUUCGUUUAAGUUUUUGAGGUUUUUGGUUGAGAAAUUGAUUAAAUCUACGACUCACAAUACUCCUCUCCGCGUUGCUAUUAUAUAGUAUCCAUGCAUAUGUGCUAUCGGGAAUGAACGUACCGGAAUCUCAGCGGGGUCUAUUACUGCUUUCCCACGCUCUGUUGCUAAAACACUUCCGAUGCUCUUGACAUCUUUGUUUUUAGUCUCCGGGAACUCCUUUAUGAAAUGCCCUACUUCUCCACAUCUGUAGCAAGUCCGACUCAUCCCAGCUUUUGUGUUCUGGUUGGUCUGUUGAGCCGGCACCCUACAGAACUUUGUGGUAUGCCCCUUUUUCAUUAUAGUUCUUGCAAUGCAUUUCCCUGCACUUUCCUUUGUGAUGAAAGCUACACUUGGUGCAUUUUGGCAGGUUUCCAACAUAUGGUCUUGUUGGCACUGAGGUAGUAGGGAUGGUGGUGGUAUGGAAUGUCACUGUUUGUUGUACAAGUUGAGGUAUCGUGGAUUGGUGAAUAAUAAAAUCCAACCACUGAAAGAGACUUGGAAAUGUCUCCGUAUCUAACUUGCUAUGGUCCAAUGACUUAACUAAAGCAGGUUUCAGAUAGACUCCAAUGAGAGUAUGAUAAGAGUACUUGAAUGAUGGAAAUGACACAAAAGUUAGCCGGCGGUCAAUAUCUUGGAUAUUUACGGCGUAAAGGUUCAGGAAAAUGGCCUUGUAAAGGUCUUACAUCAUAUACACAGGAGAUAGUUCCUGACAGUAUAAAGACCUAACUAAAGUACUUACGGUACAAGAUAAUUUCAUAGAAAAUGCCACAUCAGGCAUAGACAGAAGAAUACGAUUCCUCUUUUUGUAAGGGAAAUAAAGUAAAGCGUCUACUACUGGUGACGGUAAUUCCUCUGGUGAAUUCUUAGUUCAACCAAUUGACGUUCCAUGUCAAGUAGGUGUCUCUAUUACACCCUCUGGCGUACUUGGAGCUCUAUGACUUUGGCUCGGGUUUUCAGCUAGUGUUUGCAGCAGGUUCUCAUGGUUUCUUUCUGAUCUCUUGUGAGCAUCUUCUAGAUGAGUGGUGUGGAGGGUAUUCAUUCUUGCAUCGGUGACAACUUCGGCAAUCUGAUGUUGGGCUGUCCUGCCUUGAAUCUCAUUUUGGGCCACUCUGCGGACCAUGAUUGGCAAGAUUCUACCUGCUGAGCCCCCAUUGCUCAGGUCGUAAAAGUUUCGGUCGCCAAUAAAUGGCAUGGGCUGAUCUUGUUCUUGGCUUCAUGUUUCCAAGCAUUCCACCGAAUCAGGCGUCGGGCCAUGAAGAGCUGGACGAGGGUUAGGAAUUGGAAAGGGAGUUGCUCGAGGUAGGUUCUCAACCUCUAGUUCGGAAUUAGCAUCGGCUGAAAGGUUUUCAUCAUGAUGAUCAUCCAAAGGGAUAGGAUGAUCAUUCUCUGGUUCUUCUCCAAACCAACCAGCUAUGACUUCAUUCGGAAGAUACUGGUUGUCAAGGGGAUGGAGCCCAACUAUGAUUUCUAUGCGAGAAUUUAGGGUAAGUGGAUAAUUAUUAGACGAACUAUCUAGAUAAUUAUUUAGAAAACCCUCAUUAGUUACAUCACUAUUUGUGAAGUGCAUACCAGCUAUGUGUAAUCUAAACAGGAUAGACCUUCGAAUAAGUGACCUUAUUUCCAAAUUCACACAGAAUAGGGGUAAGGCAAAAUUAUCACUGAUUCUAAGUCUAUAACAUCCUAAUUACAUGUAGCCUUAGUGUAUCCACUUAGCAACUAUCAACUUAGUAAUGAGGAUCCCGUUUUAAUUCUCAAGUAUAAAGUACUUAUAGUAACACCAAAUACUCCUAUAGUAUUUUAAUUUUUAUGUUAUGUUCUAUUGUUCUCAUUGUGGUAGGGUUGGUAAGAUUUUAGCAUUGUUGCGACUACACACUUAAACUUAGGCACAUGCUAGUCAACCCUCGGAUAAUAUAGGCGAUCAGGCUAUAUCUUCCCAGUUUUGACCAUAUGUCUCUAAGCCCACUUGUGUUGCCCAACAAUCGUAAUUCUUUUGUACUGUCCUAGUGACACUGAUUUUAGUAUGAAUGCAGCACGUAUACUUACUUAAAUAUUUUAUUAUUUAAAGUAUAAACUCUAAAUCAGAGUAUUUUUAAUCCCAUUGUAUUUAUAGUUAGUAUAUCUUUUAUGGGUUGAUAUACUCAAUUCACUAUAAACAAUGCUCUGAUACCAAUCUGUCACACCCCAAAACCAAGAACGGCGGAAACGUUCUGGGGCGGAGGACGUCAUGUAUGCAUCACAACAAAUGUAAAGUAGUAAACAAGCAACAACAUCAUCCAUUGCAUCAAUAGUAUAAUUUUAGUUACAAGUGUUUUCUUUCAUUGUACAAGAUAUGAUAAUAACUUAUCAAAAAAAAAAAAAAAACGAGUCUUGACUGCUCCGUCUUCUCUGAACCUUGUAUCGACACCUGUCUAUUUGUAACCUGAGAAUACAAGUUAUUUUGAAAGAGUAGAUCAGCAUUUAAGCUGGUGAGUUCAUAAGUAUUUAAUGUCAUUGCUUUGAUUAGUUGAUAUGAAAGACUGGUAAAUGAAUGAUGAAACAUUUAGUAUAAGUACGAAAAGCUCUAGAAAAUCCCAUAUUUCCUACUAGUAUAAAAGUAGUCUUCUACCAAGACUCGAAUGUUUUGAAAGUAGUCUUUUACCUAGACCUGACUGUUUUGAAAGUACGCAUCUCUUGAAAAUGUGAUGGUUUUUCCUUGUUUAACUCUUAUUAGUAGUCUCUUAAGUAUACCUGAAAUGGUAUCAACUUAGAACAUCCGUAGACUGUUCAUUUACCUCUGUUGCUAACAGCCGGGUUUAGGAAUAGUUAGUCCCUUCUGUAUACCCACGAUGGUAUCAACCUAGAACAUCCGUAGAUUGUUCAUUUACCUCUGUAGCUAGCAGUGGUUAUCGGAAUGGUUAGUCCCUCAAAGUAUGAUGUGGUACUAGGAGAUAAAGUCCCAGUCUACCUCGUCGAUGAUGUGAUUGAAUCACAAGGUAAAGAUAGAAAGGCGAACAAUAUAACCGUAUCUAGACAUAUAACAUGUAAUAUUAAAUUGCCAUAUGAUGUCUAUGUAAAAGUAUUCAUGUACAAGUAUUCAUGUAUAAGUAUUCAGGUAAGAGUAUUCCUUCAUAUAACAUGUAGUAGUAAUUUGCCAUAUAAUGUUUAUGUAAAAGUAUUCAUGUAUAAGUAUUCAUGUAAAAGUAUUCCUUCAUAUAACAUGUAGUCUGGACUCAUGAAUGAACUGACUCUGGUGUAAUUUCUUGUAGUAGUGAAAAUGUUUUGUUUACUCUAAACUAUUCCUAUAAUAGUUUACUAGAAUGUAAUUGAUGAGUGUCCAAGUAGGUUUAUACACCUUUGCUACCCAGGAGUAUCGAAACUAAAUUAACUGGUGGAACAUUUAUGACCAUAUAUGUAUACAUGAUAUAUAACUAAUAUUUAAACGACCUUCGGAGGAGUACCCGAUAUCCCACCAGACCACAUCCAAAUCGAGGAAAAGGAAACAGGGUGGAUAGCCUUUCUAAGUCUUUUAAACAUUUCUUAUAUAACUAUACAUAUAGAGGCAUGCAAUUUAUAAUAUAAAAGCAUAAAGAAGUUUUGUAAACAAAACAUAUAUAUGUAUAUGGUUAUAUAUAUGUAUAAAUUUUAAAAGAUGAUUUGGUAUGUUUCGUAAUUGUUGUUCAUAUUCUUACGUUUUUAUUAGAAACUUUGCAUGAAAUAAUCCUUAAGUUUGAUACUAAAGACCUUUUUGUACUUAUCACUUUUGUAAAAAUGGUAAUUAAACAUAUUUAAAUGAUUGUGUUUUAACUUCCUUAAUGUAUAAACAUUGCUAAAAAAUGUUAGAAGGUGUUAAUAAAUGUAUAAACCACUUUUGACAGUUUUGCCCUUUACUGUCCCUGUUUUUAGAAAACUCAUAGAAAAAUCCUCGUAAGUCAAAAACUGAAUCCGUCACCUCUGAGAGUUUAUAAAAUGAGUCUACUUUGUUCCUAAUUUUUAUUAUGAUUUUUAGUGGUCUCAAACUAGUGUGAAAAUGAACAUCUUCACAGACUGGUCCGAAAUCACUUCUGAAAUGACAGGCAGUUUUAUAAAAAUCGCCAUAAAUUGUAGAAAAAUCGUAUGAACGCGUGCGAGUAGUCAUUAGAAAGGUAUAAACUUGAACUAUUUGCAUAUUGUACAGUUUUGAAAGAUAUUAAGUUUAAGAUGGUCAAAACAGUCCGUGAACAGGACUCAACUUUUCUGUAGAAAGCUGUCAUUUAAAUUUAAGUUAUGUUUAGUGUUCUAACUUGUAUUCCCCCCCUUAAAACUUGAAUAAAACAUGAAAAUGUAGGGGUAUGAACUCACCUUAUGUGAAUACUUGAAGAAUGGAAAGUUGAAGAUGAACUUUUGGUUGUUGGUUUGAUGCUCCAAAACAGCCACUCUUUUGGCUAUGUUGCUGUCACGAAAAUUUCACAGCAAA